rnacentral:rRNA from 1 species
UGGGGAAAAUUGCACAAUGGGCGCAAGCCUGAUGCAGCCAUGCCGCGUGUAUGAAGAAGGCCUUCGGGUUGUAAAGUACUUUCAGUCGGGAGGAAGGUGGUAAGGUUAAUAACCUUGGCAAUUGACGUUACCGACAGAAGAAGCACCGGCUAACUCCGUGCCAGCAGCCGCGGUAAUACGGAGGGUGCAAGCGUUAAUCGGAAUUACUGGGCGUAAAGCGCACGCAGGCGGUUGAUUGAGUCAGAUGUGAAAUCCCCGGGCUCAACCUGGGAACUGCAUCUGAUACUGGCAAGCUUGAGUCUCGUAGAGGGGGGUAGAAUUCCAGGUGUAGCGGUGAAAUGCGUAGAGAUCUGGAGGAAUACCGGUGGCGAAGGCGGCCCCCUGGACGAAGACUGACGCUCAGGUGCGAAAGCGUGGGGAGCAAACAG